GCUCCAUUUUGUACGAUUGAAGUACUAGCGGAGAAUGCGUUGUUAUUGGUGUCUGUGGAAAUCCAAAAGCAGCGAUGUUCUUCGGCAGUACCACAAUCAAUAUUUAGUGAGU
rnacentral:ncRNA from 2 species